rnacentral:rRNA from 1 species
UACGGGGGGGGCAAGCGUUGUUCGGAAUUACUGGGCGUAAAGGGCUUGUAGGUGGCCAACUAAGUCAGACGUGAAAUCCCUCGGCUUAACCGGGGAACUGCGUCUGAUACUGGAUGGCUGGAGUGUGGGAGAGGGAUGCGGAAUUCCAGGUGUAGCGGUGAAAUGCGUAGAUAUCUGGAGGAACACCGGUGGCGAAGGCGGCAUCCUGGACCAUUACUGACACUGAAAAGCGAAAGCCAGGGGAGUAAACGGG